AAUAGAUACCCCGGUAGUCCACGCCCUAAACGAUGUCAACUAGCUGUUGGGGUCUUCGGACCUUGGUAGCGCAGCUAACGCGUGAAGUUGACCGCCUGGGGAGUACGGUCGCAAGAUUAAAACUCAAAGGAAUUGACGGGGACCCGCACAAGCGGUGGAUGAUGUGGAUUAAUUCGAUGCAACGCGAAAAACCUUAUCUACCCUUGACAUGUCUGGAAUCCUGAAGAGAUUUAGGAGUGCUCGCAAGAGAACCGGAACACAGGUGCUGCUUGGCUGUCGUCAGCUCGUGUCGUGAGAUGUUGGGUUAAGUCCCGCAACGAGCGCAACCCUUGUCAUUAGUUGCUACGAAAGGGCACUCUAAUGAGACUGCCGGUGACAAACCGGAGGAAGGUGGGGAUGACGUCAAGUCCUCAUGGCCCUUAUGGGUAGGGCUUCACACGUCAUACAAUGGUCGGGACAGAGGGUUGCCAACCCGGCGAGGGGGAGCCAAUCCCAGAAACCCGAUCGUAGUCCGGAUCGCAGUCUGCAA
rnacentral:rRNA from 1 species